rnacentral:rRNA from 1 species
UACGUAGGGGGGCAAGCGUUGUCCGGAAUCAUUGGGCGUAAAGAGCGCGUAGGCGGCCCUGUAAGUCCGCUGUGAAAGUCAAGGGCUCAACCCUUGAAUGCCGGUGGAUACUGCAGGGCUAGAGUCCGGAAGAGGCGAGUGGAAUUCCUGGUGUAGCCGGUGAAAUGCGCAGAUAUCAGGAGGAACACCAGUGGCGAAGGCGGUUCUCUGGGCCUACCUGACGCUGAGGAGCGAAAGCGUGGGAGCAAACAGGAU